AUGGCGUCGGAGGAAGCGUUGAAAGCGGCGGAGGACGCGAUGACCGCUGCGGCGGAGGCCAGAGCGGAAGCAGAUGCGUUGAGGGAGGAGCUGGCGGCGCUGAAAGGCAAGAAGUCGGAAGGGGAGGUGAAGCAGGAGGCCUUGAUUCCAGCGGCGGCGGCGCUGCCGGUGAGGCCCCGCGGCCCCAUAAUCUACCCGCAGCUCACCCGCACAAAUUACACGCUGUGGGCGAUGCAGAUGCGGGUGGCGAUGCAGUCAACACGAGUUUGGGAGGCGGUAAGCUCUGAAGAUGUCUCUUUCGAGAUGGACCGCGACGCGCUGCUAGCCAUCUACCAGGGCGUACCGGAGGACGUGCUGGCAUCACUCGCCGGCAAGGACAUGGCAAAGUCAGCCUGGGAAGCCAUCAAGACUGUGCGUGUCGGCCACGAGCGCGUACGUGAGUCCAAUCUUCAGUCGCUAAGGAAGGCGUUUGAGGGAUUGGAGAUGGGCGACGACGAGCAGAUAGAAGCCUUCGCAACGCGUGUGAACAAGAUGGUUUCAUCCAUCCGCGCGCUCGGCGAUGAGGUGAAGGAGCUCACGGUGGUCCAGAAAAUUCUUCAGGCGGCGCCGGCGCAGCUCACGCACCUUGUGACCGCGCUGGAGCAGUGCGUGGACUUGAAGACGCUAACCAUGGAGGAUUUAAUUGGGCGCUUCAAGGCAUACGAGGAGCGCAUCCGGCAACGUUUCGGCGAUCCUAUUGAUGGUCAGCACCUAAUGCUGAGCAGGAAAUAA
rnacentral:rRNA from 1 species